rnacentral:ncRNA from 1 species
UUAGAAGCAUUGAUAAGGACAUGAAUCAUUUUUACGGUCUGCAGAGAGGGAAGGGCAGCUGCGAACUUCCUGGCUUAGGAAACUGAUUUACCGCCUUUGAGCCAUAUCGGUGAACAAGAGUAACUGAUAUCGUCUAAGCUGCGUUACAGCUCCAGAGCCAUGAGUGUUUUUUGCUUAUGGGAAAUUGGGUGGAAUCACGGGUAAACGCACUCGUCCCUUAC